GCCAGCAUGACAUAGUGGUUUGAGCAUCACACUAUCACUCUGGAGACCAGGGUUUGAUUCCCUCCUUGGCC